rnacentral:rRNA from 1 species
GGGAGCUUGCUCCCGCUGACGAGUGGCGAACGGGUGAGUAAUGCAUCGGAACGUGCCGAAUAGUGGGGGAUAACGCACCGAAAGGUGUGCUAAUACCGCAUACGCCCUGAGGGGGAAAGUGGGGGACCGCAAGGCCUCACGCUAAUCGAGCGGCCGAUGUCGGAUUAGCUAGUUGGUGGGGUAAAGGCUCACCAAGGCGACGAUCCGUAGCGGGUCUGAGAGGAUGAUCCGCCACACUGGGACUGAGACACGGCCCAGACUCCUACGGGAGGCAGCAGUGGGGAAUUUUGGACAAUGGGGGAAACCCUGAUCCAGCCAUGCCGCGUGUCUGAAGAAGGCCUUCGGGUUGUAAAGGACUUUUGUCCGGGAGGAAACCCUGAUCGUUAAUAGCGGUCGGGACUGACAGUACCGGAAGAAUAAGCACCGGCUAACUACGUGCCAGCAGCCGCGGUAAUACGUAGGGUGCAAGCGUUAAUCGGAAUUACUGGGCGUAAAGCGUGCGCAGGCGGUGAGAUAAGUCAGCUGUGAAAGCCCCGGGCUCAACCUGGGAACUGCGGCCGAAACUGUCUCGCUAGAGUACGUCAGAG